AGGAUUACGAUGCAUUAGUGAGCAGGGAGGCAGGCCUGGAGCCAGCUUUGUGCUGCUCUCCAGGAACACUGUGCUGCUGAGCAGCAGCAGCUGUAACCCUGCCUGCCAGGGGAGAUGAAAUCCCAAAGUGCUAAUGUGACUUGCGGUUCAUCGUUUUCAAGGUAGGGGGACCCUGUGCUGGCAUUUAAAGUCUCCAAAGCCUUACGACCCUGAGGAAGUCGCAGCGCUCUCGUCUGAGAAGUAAUUUCUCUGCUUCUCUCAACAUGCUCCCCACUCCCCAGUCCUUUCUGUUUACCAGCACUCUGCUGCAACACUCUUUCAUGGCACAGAUUUGCUGCCAGACUCUGUGGAUAUGUGAGGUACGGACAAAGUUGAAUCAAUUACCCAGAAAGAAGCCCUGCAUUUAUGUAUUUCGUGGUAAAGGGAAUUGGGAACUGUGGAUAUGUGCUUUUUUCACAUGAAAAUACCACUAUUUCCUACAGGACUGCCUGCUCUGAUUGCUUUCACACGGGAAACUAAUCACCUCUAUGUUAAGCUUGCAAUAAUCAACUGAAUAUAAAAAUCUUAACAUACAACUUAGAGGACAGAGCCCAAAGCCACUGCCAGGAAGAUUAUAUCAUCUUCUGCCUUGGAAAGUGUUUUUAAACUGAGAUGAGUCAAACAAAACCAAGUGUUGGUUGGAAAAGCCAUGAUGAUUUUUAAAGAAAGUAAGAUGUAUUUGAGGAGCUCCCACAAGCCUCUGCUGUUAAGGGAUGUGAAGAGCAGAGCAUCAAGAGACAUGCUGGGAAAGAAGAGAAACAUCUAAGCAAUGCGGUGUUCAGACCCAUGCAGAAGUGCUCAGGGAUGCCUCGUUUUAUUUAGUCACUUAAAAAUGAUCUAAUCUGUAAAUCACAGAACCCAGUUGCUGCACUUCUUUUGAGGACUGAGCUAGACACAGUUUUAGAGCAUGCAUGUGUUUCGGGGGGUGGUACCUUCCCUGUUUUCAUUCUGCCAGGAACGUGACACAUGCAGUUUAAAUGCUUGGGGGAGGGGAGAAAAGCAG